GCCGUCAUAUGGUGAAGCCGCGAAUGGCUCAUUUACAACAGCCGUUGUUUCUUGGAUCUUGUUUUACUUGGAUAACUGUGGUAAUUCUAGAGCUAAUACAUGCAACCAAGCUCUGACCUUACGGAAGGAGCGCAUUUAUUAGACCAAGACCAAUUAGGCUCCGGCCUAGUAUCUGGUGACUCUGAAUAACUUUGCUGAUCACACGGUCCUCGCACCGGUGACAUAUCUUUCAAGUGUCUGCCCUAUCAACUGUCGAUGGUAGUUUAUGUGCCUACCAUGGUCGUAACGGGUAACGGAGAAUAAGGGUUCGACUCCGGAGAGGGAGCCUGAGAAAUGGCUACCACAUCCAAGGAAGGCAGCAGGCGCGCAAAUUACCCACUCUCAGCUCGAGGAGGUAGUGACGAAAAAUAACGAGACGGUUCUCUUUGAGGCCCGUCAUCGGAAUGGGUACAAUCUAAACCCUUUAACGAGGAUCUAUUGGAGGGCAAGUCUGGUGCCAGCAGCCGCGGUAAUUCCAGCUCCAAUAGCAUAUACCAAUUCUGCUGCUGUUAAAAAGCUCGUAGUUGGAUCUUUCCUGAGGGCCCAGUCUGUCUAACGGACUAGUACUGGGUUCCGAGGGUUUUACCUUGCUGGUUGUCUCAUGGUGCCCUUCAUUGAGUGCCUUGGGUGGCUAGCACGUUUACUUUGAAAAAAUUAGAGUGCUCAAAACAGGCGUUACAGCCCGAAUAGUGGUGCAUGGAAUAAUGGAAUAGGACCUCGGUUCUAUUUUGUUGGUUUUAGGAGCGCGAGGUAAUGAUUAAGAGGGACAGACGGGGGCAUUCGUAUUGCGGCGUUAGAGGUGAAAUUCUUGGAUCGCCGCAAGACGAACAACUGCGAAAGCAUUGCCAAGAAGUU
rnacentral:rRNA from 1 species